rnacentral:lncRNA from 1 species
UGACACCCCGCAUCACUUUUUCUAAAUUUCCCUUUUUAAAUGAUGAAAAUUUUAGUCUCAAAAGAUAUUAUCCGAACUAGAAGAGUUGGAGGCGGCAGAGCACAUCCCACAAGGGAGAAGUAUUUUUAUGAAGGUAAAAGGAUGUUUAAUUGAUUCUUGUUUUAGGAAGGUUUAUUUUGUUAUCUAAUAAUAUCCAAAAAAAGUACCAUGUUAGGUCUUUCUUUUAUUAAAAACAAUAUAUAAGCAUUUGUAAAAUAGAAUUGCUUGAAUUAAAUAAUAAUAAACGUAAAAUGGUUAAACCAUGUUUUUAUUAUUGUAUACGGAAAAAAUUAGUGGUUCGAUUUUACGGUCACCAAGUCGCUUCGAAGAAACUGCCUCCAAAGGCUCGAAGCUUAGCUCGGGGCUUUGGCCUCAAAAGUUCUCAGUAAUCUACUUCGAGGUAGCUUAAACAACGGGCAACCUCAAGGCAGGGUAAAUUAGUGGCAUCGGUGGAUCGGUGUGAGGUUCCCGAUACAUGUGACUAGGGCUGACAAAGUCAAUUAUGCUAGUUUAAACUUGUACCAUGGCAUUAAAUGGUUAUACCAGUCUCAUAUCUUUGUAAUAAAUGUAUUUGUACUAUAUUGUGAUUCUCCCUCACAUAUAAAGGGGAUCCUUGUUAUUUUAUAGGACAUUUGAUACUCAAUACUUAAUACAAAAGAACAUUCUCUCUGCUCUCUAA